CAGCAGCCGCGGUAAAACGUAGGGGGCAAGCGUUAUCCGGAAUUAUUGGGCGUAAAGAGUGCGUAGGUGGUCUACUAAGCGCGAGGUGAAAGGCAAUGGCUCAACCAUUGUUAGCCUUGCGAACUGGCAGACUUGAGUGCAAGAGAGGAAAGCGGAAUUCCUAGUGUAGCGGUGAAAUGCGCAGAUAUUAGGAGGAACACCGGCGGCGAAGGCGGCUUUCUGGAUUGUAACUGACACUGAGGCACGAAAGCGUGGGUAGCAAACAGGAUUAGAUACCCCGGUAGUCCCUGUCUCUUAUACA
rnacentral:rRNA from 1 species